UGAAGUUCCGCUGUCGCCAUAUCUGUUUCCGGUUUACUUGCGCGUCGCCCAAAAUGUCUUUUUACUCGAUGUCUCCAGAAUCUUCCGAAAAUACGCGUCAGCGAUGUUCAUCGCAUUGUUGAUGCCUGGUCCCCUGCUCCGACAAGCAAGAGGGACAAGGGCUUUAAACUCUACAUAUCGAGUUAUCUGCACAACUACAAGGGAGCACACACUCUACAAAGGCCUGACUGGAGAUUUGCCUGAUCUAUCCGUCCUUCAGAUGACAGCGGCUCGCUUCAAGAGCAGGUGAAGCAAGUUGGGACAAUGUUGAAGACAUUUGCUCGCACUGGGCAAUCAGGUGCAGAUCAAACCCUAAUGCUGCGACGUCUUGGAAUUUGGCGAUGUUGUGCGUAGCAUGGACGACAAAAUGCUAUGCUGCUACGUUUCAGUGCCAAUGUGUCUGUUGGAGAGUUAUCCCUGCCAGGGGAUCUGUUACUCCCCCCUAGACACCCAGGAAGAUUUGGCGUUGCUUGACAACAGUUUGAGGCAGGAUAAAGAGCUCCAGCAACGAUUUCUUCGGUUUUUGGCAAUCAAAUGUGGGAGGGACCUAAAGACAACCGUGUGGCGAAUGCUUCGGAGUAUCUUCUCUAAUCACCUUUCCAUCAAUACAACCUGGACUGGUGUAGGGGAUAAAGCAUGUUUUAGAGACAUGUUCCUGAAGACCAUUGUUCAAAGUAAGUUGGAUUUUUUUUUUAUAUUUAAGUAGAUGUGUAUGACCUUAUGCCAUUCAAAUGGAAUGACAGAUCUUUAUUUUCUACAGGAGCCAUCCGGAAGAACCCGGCAACACAGGAUGCCACUGAUGAGGCGAUCCAGGUUAACGUUACCUGAAAAGAGCAUCUGAACAUGAAGGUGGAAAAAGGCGCCGCACAGCUGAGAGGGACCCACAGCCGACCCCUUAAACCUAGGCUGACUACUGACACCCCAGCAACACUGACAACUGGAACCCUUUCUUUAUCCUGCAGUCAGUAACAUCAAGACCCCUAAAAAAGCCUGCUAAAAGUGUCAGACUACACUCACCCAAUCCACAAUGUUCACUGUGGAAAUUGCUCUUUUUUUUUUUUUUCUCGUGACCCUGCUUUGAGGGUAGCUCCUUGGAUGAAUAUGGGAUGGUUUGUCCUUUUAUACAGGCACACGAGGAAUCACUGAAGAUAUGCUAAUUUGCACUGCCUCAUUCUGGAGGUCGGGGAAAACCGGUGAUUCUUAGCCCACUACGCCACACAGUCCCCAACCUCUCCAGACAUUCUGAUUGGCUGUGUUCUCUACAGCCAGAUUUUCUGCUGUUAAUUAUAUUUAUUCCCACUUGUUGUCAUGUGUAAGUUGAAUGUCAAAAUGUAUAUUAUACCUGUUAUCCUGCACAUUCCUUGAUACCAAAGAUCUCAAUUAUUUCAUAUACAAUUUGCUGCUUAUUUCAUUGUUACAGUGCUUAACUAUUCUAUUUUUAAAUAUAGCUUGUAAAUCCUAGAUUAUACAUCUAAUACUUGAUAUUUGCACAUUAUCUGGUAUCAAAUAUUCUACUUACCGUGACUUUAGUAUUGGCUUAUUUCAUUCCGUCAGUGCUUAACAAUUCUAUUAUAGUUUGUAAAUCCUAUUUCAUACCUCUGAUACUUGAUAUUGCACAUUAACUAGUACCAAAAAUUAUACUUUCAUUCCAUCACAGUGCUUAACUGUUAUUCUAUUGUUACAUAUAGCUUGUAAAUCCUUGUGCCACAGGUCAGCAUUGCAGUUAUAAUGGUAUAUUCUACUCCAGAGCUUUACUCUAAAUUAUUACCACUUAACCUAUUGUUAGAAAUGACUUGUAAAUAUGAUGUUAUACCUCAAUUUAUUUGGUAUCCUGCACUUUCUUUGGUACCAAAUAUCCUCAUUGCUUGUGUUUACUGGUAAUUCUUUUCAUCCCAGAGCUGACCUCUUUAUAUUAUUAACAAUUAUUGUAAGUGUUACAAUAGUGUUUUUUAAAAAAAAAAAGAAAUUGGAAACCUGCAUGUUCUUUUGUG